rnacentral:misc_RNA from 1 species
GAUGAAGAACGUAGUGAAAUGCGAUACUUGGUGUGAAUUGCAGAAUCCCGUGAACCAUCGAGUCUUUGAACGCAAGUUGCGCCUCAAGCCAUUAGGUUGAGGGCACGUCUGCCUGGGCGUCACAUAUCGUUGCCUGAUGCCAGUUUCCUCGUGAUGGGUGACUGUGCAGGGCGAAUGAUGGCUUCCCGUGAGCAUUGUUGCCUCAUGGUUGGUUGAAAAUUGAGUCCUUGGUAGGGAGCGCCGUGAUAGAUGGUGGUUGAGUGACGAACGAGACCCAGUCAUGUGAGACCCCUACCGAAUUUGGCCUUCAUGACCCACAUGCGUCUUUGGAACGCUCAUGACGAGACCUCAGGUCAGGCGGGGCUACCCGCUGAGUUUAAGCAUAUCAAUAAGCGGAGGA